ensembl:lncRNA
GGGAAGUGUAAACGAGGGCAGCUCAGAAUCCUUUCCUGCCAGCUUCAUGUGCUAGCUUUUGAGCUGAGGAAGCAUGCUCUGUGUUUCUGAGGUGUUCCCUUCUGUUUUAAAAAGAAGGGCUGCAAGGUGACAUUUUUCCUGUGGCUUGCAGCUGUGCUCCUUGGCACAGACCUUUGUUUCCAUGUGGCAGACUGUUUUGCAGUCUGUGGGUGUCCCAACUUCAGACAUGCAUCUUCUAGACUGACAACUGUUCUAAGGAGGAAAGAAAGAAAGUGGUUUAAUCAGAACGACAUUUGAGUGUUAACACAGUGAGGUGAACGAGGGCCCCAGAAGCAAACUUGGUGCUGUUGAAGCACUGUCCGAUGACAAGGUUGAAGGUAACACCUGCUGGCAGAUGUGGAAAACACCUCUGGAUUGUGGUGAGGAGAAAAUGAAACACAAUGACUGAGCUGCCUGCAAAGAGCUUCUGGUGGAAGCUUGGUAGCAACUUGGAACUAGAUCUGAUCAACUUCUUGUGUGCUGACGUCCAGCCAGGCACUAGGGAUGAGUCUGCAUAGCAGGGUAUGUGUGGCAGGACUGAGGCUUGGGGAGCAGGCCAGGUGGAAUCCAGUGCGCUUUGCUCUUGUUCUCAGUGUUUGUUUUUGCUCAGGUGGGCAGGUGGUGAAGCUCAUGAAGCAAUGCCUGCAGAUGGGGUUUGCGGAGCAAGAGGUCCUGCAGGCCUUGUGUGACACGCAUGGAGCUGUAGCGGGGCUGCAUCAGUGUAAAACAGCAGAAAUGCACGGAGGUGUGAAGGUGAGCUGUGGGCUCCAGUAGUGCAGGAAGGGAUGUACGUGCUCAGGGUUUGGCUGCUUCUGUGUGUGUUUUAAGUGAGUGUGAUGCCACUGCUUGGUCCGUUUGAGUGUAUGGAACAAGUGUGCCAUCCUUUAUGAUGGAGUCGUGUGCAAGGAGUCCUAUGGCUUUGAGAGCUGACUUGAAGCCUGUGGGCAUCACGGAGGAUUAGGGUAAGGGGAUGAGGCAAGGGAACCGGAACCUCUUUGGUUGAUAUGAUGUCCUGCUGUUCUCUUCUUGGAUUAGGAAUAUCUGUGUGUUUUUUAAUGAAGAACAAACUCACUGUUCAGCUUGUGAAUGAAUUAAUUCAUGUCUGUUAGAUGGUUCUCUCCAUGGAGCUGCAAUUGAAACGAAUGCUUCUGGUGUGAU